rnacentral:rRNA from 1 species
AGCGACCCCAGGUCAGGCGAGACACUCCGCGU